UUCUCCCUUUGGCUGCGCAUAGCCUUUUCUUCCGCUCAUACAUGUAUGUGCCUGUGUCCUAACACCUUUUUCAUAAAAGACACAGGUUCACUGAAUGAGAGUCUACCCACAGGACCUCAUUUUAUGUUAAUUACUUCUUUAAAGGAUCAAUCUCCAUAAAAAGACAUAUUUCAAAGUACUGGAGUAGUGUACUUAGUGUAUGAAUUUGUUUUUCCGAAGAGAGAAGUCUCACCUUGGAUGUGGAUGGCACCACUGAUGGGGCAAAUGGAUGACAUUAGAAGAAACCAUCC